rnacentral:rRNA from 1 species
GUGCCUAAUACAUGCAAGUCGAACGCUUUUUCUUUCACCGGAGCUUGCUCCACCGAAAGAAAAAGAGUGGCGAACGGGUGAGUAACACGUGGGUAACCUGCCCAUCAGAAGGGGAUAACACUUGGAAACAGGUGCUAAUACCGUAUAACACUAUUUUCCGCAUGGAAGAAAGUUGAAAGGCGCUUUUGCGUCACUGAUGGAUGGACCCGCGGUGCAUUAGCUAGUUGGUGAGGUAACGGCUCACCAAGGCCACGAUGCAUAGCCGACCUGAGAGGGUGAUCGGCCACACUGGGACUGAGACACGGCCCAGACUCCUACGGGAGGCAGCAGUAGGGAAUCUUCGGCAAUGGACGAAAGUCUGACCGAGCAACGCCGCGUGAGUGAAGAAGGUUUUCGGAUCGUAAAACUCUGUUGUUAGAGAAGAACAAGGAUGAGAGUAGAACGUUCAUCCCUUGACGGUAUCUAACCAGAAAGCCACGGCUAACUACGUGCCAGCAGCCGCGGUAAUACGUAGGUGGCAAGCGUUGUCCGGAUUUAUUGGGCGUAAAGCGAGCGCAGGCGGUUUCUUAAGUCUGAUGUGAAAGCCCCCGGCUCAACCGGGGAGGGUCAUUGGAAACUGGGAGACUUGAGUGCAGAAGAGGAGAGUGGAAUUCCAUGUGUAGCGGUGAAAUGCGUAGAUAUAUGGAGGAACACCAGUGGCGAAGGCGGCUCUCUGGUCUGUAACUGACGCUGAGGCUCGAAAGCGUGGGGAGC